rfam:Pelodictyon phaeoclathratiforme BT-1, complete genome.
GGGUUCCUAGCUCAGUUGGUUAGAGCGGCUGGUUUACACCCAGUAGGUCGGGGGUUCGAAUCCCUCGGGACCCA